rnacentral:rRNA from 1 species
UUGGAGGGCAAGUCUGGUGCCAGCAGCCGCGGUAAUUCCAGCUCCAAUAGCGUAUAUUAAAGUUGUUGCAGUUAAAAAGCUCGUAGUUGAAUUUCGGGAUCAGAGUGUCGGUCGUGCCUCGGUACGCACUGGUAUUAUUGGUUCCUACCUUCUGAAGAACCGCGAUGUCAUUAAUUUGGUGUCGUGGGAAUCAGGACUGUUACUUUGAAAAAAUUAGAGUGUUUAAAGCAGGCUUACGCUUGAAUACAUUAGCAUGGAAUAAUGAAAUAGGACGUUUGAUUCUAUUUUGUUGGUUUCUAGGAUCGACGUAAUGAUUAAUAGGGAUAGUUGGGGGCAUUAGUAUUCAAUUGUCAGAGGUGAAAUUCUUGGAUUUAUUGAAGACUAACUACUGCGAAAGCAUUUGCCAAGGAUGUUUUCAUUAAUCAAGAACGAAAGUUAGGGGAUCGAAGACGAUCAGAUACCGCCGUAGUCUUAACCAUAAACUAUGCCGACUAGGGAUCGGAUGAUGUUAAUUUUUUAAUGACUCAUUCGGCGCCUUACGGGAAACCAAAGUGUUUGGGUUC